AUCAUUAAAAGCAAAGAAUCUGUCUCAGCUGUGGUCAGAAAGGGGGCGGUGACUACAGGAGAAUGAUCAGAGGGUUGCAACAUCGCUGGCUUUAAAGAUGCAUGAUGGAGGCCAGGAAUGCUGGCGUCCUCUGGAAGGCAAGAAAACGGGAAAGGGUCUUAGGAGAGUUGGACACAUUCAAAACACAAUAUGUGAUUAAGAAGAUUAAAGAUUAAUACUUAUUGAUGGAUUACUAUGUGCCAAACUUCCAACCGAAUCCUGACAACAAUUCCUUAAGAUGUGGAAACUGCAGUUCACUGAGGUUGACAUUUCCGGGUUCAUACAACAAGGAUGGGCAUGAUUGUGAGGCCUCCCCACCCACAUGGAAUGGAACAAUGGUUCAGGAUUCACUAAUUCAGUAUUAGCAGCAACUUUACGGAACAAAACUACUGUGGAUAAUGAGAAUUCACUGCGCCCGUUGUUUAAACAGUUAACAGCAGUCACUUUAGUGCCUUUUGUAGAGACAGAGCAACCCUGGCAACCAGUGAUCCACUUCCUGUCUCUAUAAACUUGCUUAUUCUGGACAUUUCAUAUAAAUGGAGCAAUACAAUAUGUGGACGCUGUCUGGCUUCUUUCACUUU
rnacentral:lncRNA from 1 species